rnacentral:rRNA from 1 species
CCCUUAGAUGUCCUGGGCCGCACGCGCGUUACACUGAUGCAUUCAACGAGCUUAUAACCUUGGCCGAGAGGCCUGGGCAAUCUUGUUAACGUGCAUCGUGAUAGGGAUAGAUUAUUGAAAUUAUUAAUCUUGAACGAGGAAUUCCUAGUAAACGCAGAUCAUCAAUCUGCAUUGAUUACGUCCCUGCCCUUUGUACACACCGCCCGUCGCACCUACCGAUUGGAUGGUCCGGUGAAGCCUCGGGAUUGUGGUUCUUGCCGCUUUUUUGUGGCGUGACCGCGAGAACUUGUCUAAACCUUAUCAUCUAGAGGAAGGUGAAGUCGUAACA